AGUCGCGAUUCGCCCUUCUUGGUCAUUUAGAGGAAGUAAAAGUCGUAACAAGGUUUCGUAGGUGAACCUGCGGAAGGAUCAUUAACGAGUAUCGGUGCCUCUUGGGCCUACUCCCACCCUUUGUUAACUAUUUAACCGUUGCUUUGGCGGGUCGGUACCCGUACUGCGUACCCUUACCCUCCGGCUUUAGCUGGAGCGUACCCCCAGAGAACCACUAAACCCGCUCAACGUGGAGUCUGAGUAAAUCUUAAUAAUUAAAACUUUCAACAACGGAUCUCUUGGUUCUGGCAUCGAUGAAGAAGCAGCGAAAUGCGAUAAGUAAUGUGAAUUGCAGAAUUCAGUGAAUCAUCAAUCUUUGAACGCACAUUGCGCCCUUUGGUAUUCCGAAGGGCAUGCCUGUCGAGCGUCAUUUAAACUCUCAAGCCUUGCUUGGUGUUGGGCGAGGUCCGUAGGACCCUCCUGUAACUCGUUGGCGGUACCGUCCGGCUUCAAGCGUACAAAAUCCUCGCUUUGGAGCUCCGGGCGGCGCCUGCCAGGGAACCUUUGACCCAUAGUUUGACCUCGGAUCAGGUAGGGAUACCCGCUGAACUUAAGCUAUCAAUAAGCGGAGGA
rnacentral:rRNA from 1 species